rnacentral:rRNA from 1 species
UACGAAGGGAGCUAGCGUUGUUCGGAAUUACUGGGCGUAAAGCGCACGUAGGCGGGCUUGCCAGUCAGGGGUGAAAUCCCAAGGCUCAACCUUGGAAAUGCCUUCGAUACAGCAAGUCUUGAGAUCGGGAGAGGUGAGUGGAAUUCCUAGUGUAGAGGUGAAAUUCGUAGAUAUUAGGAAGAACACCAGUGGCGGAGGCGGCUCACUGGCCCGAUACUGACGCUGAGGUGCGAAAGCGUGGGGAGCAAACGGG